GUCACUGCUAUCGGGGUUCGAUUAAGCCAUGCGAGUCGAGAGGGUUCGGCCCUCGGCGUACUGCUCAGUAACACGUGGAUAACCUGCCCUAGGGAAGGGGAUAACCCCGGGAAACUGGGGAUAAUACCCUAUAGAUUACAGAUGCUGGAAUGCCCUGUAAUCCAAAGUUCCGACGCCCUAGGAUGGAUCUGCGGCCGAUUAGGUUGUUGUUGGGGUAAUAGCCCAACAAGCCCGUAAUCGGUACGGGUUGUGGGAGCAAGAGCCCGGAGUUGGAUUCUGAGACACGAAUCCAGGCCCUACGGGGCGCAGCAGGCGCGAAAACUUUACAAUGCGGGCAACCGUGAUAAGGGAACCUCGAGUGCCUGUAAAUGCAGGCUGUUCAGGUGCCUAAAACACACCUGAAGAAAGGGCCGGGCAAGACCGGUGCCAGCCGCCGCGGUAAUACCGGCGGCUCGAGUGGUGGCCGCUUUUAUUGGGCUUAAAGCGUUCGUAGCUGGGUUGUUAAGUCUCUUGGGAAAUCUGGCGGCUUAACCGUCAGGCGUCUAAGGGAUACUGGCAAUCUUGGAACCGGGAGAGGUGAGGGGUACUUCGGGGGUAGGAGUGAAAUCCUGUAAUCCUCGAGGGACCACCUGUGGCGAAGGCGCCUCACCAGAACGGCUUCGACAGUGAGGGACGAAAGCUGGGGGAGCAAACCGGAUUAGAUACCCGGGUAGUCCCAGCCGUAAACUAUGCGCGUUAGGUGUAUCGGUGACCACGAGUUACCGAGGUGCCGAAGGGAAACCGUGAAACGUGCCGCCUGGGAAGUACGGUCGCAAGGCUGAAACUUAAAGGAAUUGGCGGGGGAGCACCACAACAGGUGGAGCCUGCGGUUUAAUUGGACUCAACGCCGGGAAGCUCACCGGAUAAGACAGCAGAAUGAUUGCCGGGCUGAAGACUCUGCAUGACUAGCUGAGAGGAGGUGCAUGGCCGUCGUCAGUUCGUACUGUGAAGCAUCCUGUUAAGUCAGGCAACGAGCGAGAC
rnacentral:rRNA from 1 species